AAAAAACAAAAAACAUUAUACAUAAUUUGGAAAAUAAUAAAUAUAUGUAAACAUACAACAUAAAAAAUGGAAAUACUACAUUAAACAUAUGUACGAUUACCAUUUUACAUUUUUAUUUUAAAAAAAUAAUAUGUAAACAUACAACAUAAAAAAUGGAAAAACUACAUUAAACAUAUGUAAGAUUAUCUUUUUUCACAAAAAAAAAGACGACUUAUCUCCAUAAUGUAACAUUACUAUUUUGUAAAAAAAAUAUUAUAUAUAAUUUUGAAAAUAAUAAAUAAUAUGUAAACAUACAACAUAAAAAAUGAAAAUACUACAUUAAACAUAUAUAAGAUUACCAUUUUACACUAGAAAAAUAGAAAAAACGGCUUAUCUCCAUAAUGUAACAUUACCAUUUUAUAAAAAAAUAAAAAAACAUAAAUAUAACAAUUUGACUAUUUGUUCAAGUUCUUCUAUUAAAUAUUACCGUUUUACAUUAAAAAUAGAAAAAUACAUAAAG
rnacentral:lncRNA from 1 species